rnacentral:rRNA from 1 species
AUUGAACGCUGGCGGCAGGCCUAACACAUGCAAGUCGAGCGAGCGGCGGACGGGUGAGGAAGGUUGGGUGACUGCACGAUAGAGGGGGAUAACUACUGGAAACGGUGGCUAAUACCGCACACUGUCGGCUAACACAUAUGGGAUUAGCUGGUAGGUAAGGUAAUGGCUUACCUAGGCGACGAUCCCUAGCGGGUCGGAGAGGAUGAUCAGCCACACUGGGACUGAGACACGGCCCAGACUCCUACGGAGGCAGCAGUGGGGAAUAUUGCACAAUGGGCGCAAGCCUGAUGCAGCCAUGCCGCGUGUAUGAAGAAGGCCCUAGGGUUGUAAAGUACUUUCAGUCGGGAGGCGUUACCGACAGAAGAAGCACCGGCUAACUCCGUGCCAGCAGCCGCGGUAAUUC